CCUACGGGUGGCUGCAGUGGGGAAUAUUGGAAAAUGGGCGAAAGCCUGAUCCAGCAAUGCCGCGUGAGUGAUGAAGGCCUUAGGGUUGUAAAGCUCUUUUACCAGGGAUGAUAAUGACAGUACCUGGAGAAUAAGCUCCGGCUAACUACGUGCCAGCAGCCGCGGUAAUACGGAGGGAGCUAGCGUUGUUCGGAAUUACUGGGCGUAAAGCGCACGUAGGCGGUUUUUCAAGUCAGGGGUGAAAGCCCGGAGCUCAACCCCGGAAUUGCGCAUGAAAGUGGAUGACUAGAAUCUUGGAGAGGUCAGUGGAAUUCCGAGUGUAGAGGUGAAAUUCGUAGAUAUUCGGAAGAACACCAGUUGCGAAGGCGACUGACUGGACAAGUAUUGACGCUGAGGUGCGAAAGCGUGGGGAGCAAACAGGAUUAGAUACCCUCGUAGUC
rnacentral:rRNA from 1 species